rnacentral:lncRNA from 1 species
CCAGAGGUGUGCGAAAGUUAUCUUAACUGAAGUUAACGGAUCGUUAACGCGUUAAAGUCGGGACGCGUUAAGCUAUUUCUUAGCAACAUUUCUUUCAGUUAACGGGCAGUUAACGGCGACAUGAAAACGCCAAAAUUUGGAGGAGAAUUUAACGCGUUAAAAUUUUUAACAAAGUUAAACUUGAAUGGAAAGCACAUCAUGCAUAAAUAAAGAAAAUUUGUGGGCAUCUCGGGCUCUCGGCAAUGUUCUAAAUGUUACGUAUAAUAAAUUUAAAUGUGUAAAGCCGGUAAUACUGUUAUUUGUAUUCAAAUUCAAGUCAGAAUCGGAGUCAGACGACUAUUCGUCGUAGUCAUUCGUACUUCGUAAUUCGUGACUUCGUGGUUCGUUCCUCGUAGAUUGUAGGUCGUAUCUUGUUAUGAGUCGUGUAUUGCUGGCGUCAUUUAAUUUGGUAUUUGAAUCGGAAUUUGACGUACUUUUAGGAGCCUUGAAAACUAAAGCACAAAGACAAACUUCGAAAGUAAUUUGAAGUAUACGUAUUGGUUUUCGUGAAGAUCAAAAGAAUUUUGAUGUGAUUCUUUCCCGCUCACAGAAAUUGGUGAAAGAAUGGGUCGAACAAAAAAGACUGUAUGUAGUCCUUCACUGACUAAGAGCUCAAAGGCUAGCAAUACCAAAUCUAACAAUGACAAAGAUCUGACUUCUUCACUCAACGAAGCAAUUGACCAACCUGAAAGUGGAAAGUCAGCUUCUAAUAUUGAACCUGAACCUUCAGCAAACGACACAAAUUUGAAGUCAUGUUGGGUUUGAAAUCAUUUCUUGCAAAUUGAGUCAAAGCCAGGAAAGUCUGCAACCAUUGCAAAAAGCUGAUGACAAUUUCAGUGUCAUCAAUGAAGUACCAUUUAAAUGUCAAACACAGACAAAAAAUCCAUGAAGAUCAACCAAAAAUCACAGAUUACAGAACAAUGACAAAAGAAAAGAAAUUGAAACUCGAUACCGCAAUUGCAAACUUCAUUGUUCAGGACCUACAUGCAGUAAAUGUUGUGAUGGGGAAAGACUUUCGAAAUUGAAUGAAAGUAGCAGUUGGGCAGCAGUAUCAUGUUCCGCAUCGAACGACUUUUAGUCGUUAUCGAAUUCCCAAAAUGUACGAGGCAUGUAAGCUUGCCGUCAUAGAAGAAUAUAAACCAGUUGAGUUUGUGUGUUGCACAACUGACAUGUGGGUUGACAACUUUAAACACCUGGCCUACAUGACUCUGACUGCCCACGUCCUCUGCCUCUACGUAAAUUUUGUUAGUCAUGAUAAACCAAGAUCUCAAUAAAAGCCAUAUGGCCGUUUAAGCGUUAUAUAUCUUUAAAAUUUAGUUUUAAAAAGCGGUCUAAAACAGGUCAAAACCAACAGAAAAAUAACACGUUAAAUAUUUUAACUCAGUUAAUUUCCUUUAACUGGUUAAUUUCCGUUAACUGUAGUUAACUGGCGAGAAAAACACUUUAACGCGUUAAGGCAAAUGAAAAAUGCAUUUUAACGCGUUAAGGAUUUUUUGACAAACGCACACCUCUGGUUCGUGCCCUCGUGUGUGUGGCAGGUAGAAAGGCUCCCCUUUACCGACUUUCAAAAAGGCUAGAAAUAAAACUGCUUAAUCAACUAAUCUAACGUGUUCCUUCUCUUAUUUUCCUAAAGGCUCACUCUCCAGUAAGUGUUGCAUCAACAUUGAAGUGGGGAAACAGAUUCCGUCCCCACAAACGGCGUUCCCUAGUUUUGUCAUUGACUAUCGCUUUCAGAAAUGAUCGUCGAAGAAAUAAUCGUGUGGCAUGUCUGCCCUCCACCGAUAAGGCGAUAAUGCAAUCGUGUGAAAAGAAAUAAAAACUUCAGCUUGUACGUUUUAUUUUUCACCGCAUAACAAUAUUUUCAUUCAAGUUCAACAAAAGACGAAAUAAAAAAAUAAUAAACGAUGUCAUGUACCAUGAAAAGCGGAA